rnacentral:piRNA from 2 species
UCUAAGAGGCCGAGGUUUUGGAACUGGUGU